GAUGAACGCUGGCGGCGUGCCUAAUACAUGCAAGUCGAGCGAACAGAUGAGGAGCUUGCUCCUCUGACGUUAGCGGCGGACGGGUGAGUAACACGUGGUUAACCUACCUAUAAGACUGGGAUAACUUCGGGAAACCGGAGCUAAUACCGGAUAAUAUAUUGAACCGCAUGGUUCAAUAGUGAAAGACGGUUUUGCUGUCACUUAUAGAUGGAUCCGCGCCGCAUUAGCUAGUUGGUAAGGUAACGGCUUACCAAGGCAACGAUGCGUAGCCGACCUGAGAGGGUGAUCGGCCACACUGGAACUGAGACACGGUCCAGACUCCUACGGGAGGCAGCGGUAGGGAAUCUUCCGCAAUGGGCGAAAGCCUGACGGAGCAACGCCGCGUGAGUGAUGAAGGUCUUCGGAUCGUAAAACUCUGUUAUUAGGGAAGAACAAAUGUGUAAGUAACUAUGCACGUCUUGACGGUACCUAAUCAGAAAGCCACGGCUAACUACGUG
rnacentral:rRNA from 1 species